GACGAACGCUGGCGGCGUGCUUAACACAUGCAAGUCGAACGGAGCGGCGGACGGGUGCGUAAUGCCUAGGAAUCUGCCUGGUAGUGGGGGAUAACGUCCGGAAACGGGCGCUAAUACCGCAUACUCUCAGAUGAGCCUAGGUCGGAUUAGCUAGUUGGUGGGGUAAAGGCCAACCACGGCGACGAUCCGUAACUGGGCUGAGAGGAUGAUCAGUCAUACGGGAACUGAGACACGGUCCAGACCAGUACGGGAGGCAGCAGUGGGGAAUAUUGGACAAUGGGCGAAAGCCUGAUCCAGCCAUGCCGCGUGUGUGAAGAAGGUCUUCGGAUUGUAAAGCACUUUAAGUUGGGAGGCGUUACCAACAGAAUAAGCACCGGCUAACUCCGUGCCAGCAGCCGCGGUAAUAC
rnacentral:rRNA from 1 species